rnacentral:lncRNA from 1 species
UCGCAUAUUAGGAGACAUAUGUUGGCAGGUAGAAAGCCAUGCAUGCAUGCAACGUGUUAGUGUGUGUGUGUGUGUAUAGUUUAUACAUAUAGAGAGAUUAGAAAAGAUAAGAGUGGAAGAAAUACAUGACGUUAGGAGUGAUCAAAGAGCUUGCUCAAGUACAUGGAGUUUAGUCAUCGCGGUAGUAACGUGGAUCUUCGUUUUAGCUUUGGAAUUGAGGUAGGGGUUUCUUGAGGAACUUAUCACUAUUUUGGGGUAUUUGUCUUGUUUAAACUUUGUGAAAUAUGUGUUAUAUUUGGUAUACCUCUGUAAUUGAUGUGUUUAUUGGAAUAUGAUUUAUAUUAUUGUUGAUAAUGUGGAUAUUGUGAUGAUUAUAAUUAUAUGCAUAUGUCAUUGCAUAUUGGAAGGGACGGAUUUUAUUGGAAUAUUCGAGAUUGAGAUAUGGAAAUGAAAUAUUCUUUUGUGUGGUUGAGUUCGACUCUUAUAAGGACCAGCAAGGAUGGAAAAAGUGAAAUUAUAGGAAUGGUGCAAAGUAGUGGAGACUGGCGACUGAAAGGAGAACAUGAUGAAUAACAAAAGGAGAAAUUGGGAUGACAGAGUUACGGGGGUUAGUUUAUACAAUAGAGCAUUUGGACCACCACUGUAGUGGUAAAAUGCAUGGUAUGGGACAUGCAGGUUUGCGUGUUUUAUUAUAUAAAUUAAUGGCCUGGGUAAUUGAAGUUAAGUUGCAUUCAUGAACUAUAAUUUAUAUUUGAUAACAUGUUAUAAUUGAUUAUGUGUUGUAUGACACUUGGUUUAGUCAUAACAAUUAUCCUUGAUAAGACUUAUGUCCCUACUGAACUGCAGUUUUGCUCACCCUAUACAUUUUAGACCUUGCAGGUUCCUACAAGUUUAAAGAAGGGUAAACGAGUUGAGCUUGUAUUAGAUGAGGGAUUUAAGAGUUUUUAUUUAUUUUGUACACCCUGUAAGAUUUUGGAGUUACUUGUAGUUUUACUUUUACUCGUACGUCGGGCACAUGGUCAUAUUUUUCCGCCAACCCAAGUCCAGGGCAUGACAAAAGCGUUGGACAAAGGCCCGGUAUGUAAUGAGUCGAGGUUCAAAAUGACAUCGCAGAAUAGACCGAUGAAGAUUCCACAUAAAGUUAUGCGUUAUUAGCCACUAAGCUGAGGUUGCAACGAUUGUAUAUGUCAAUGCAUAUUGCAAGUGACAUGAGAUGACAUAAAGAAAGUCGGGUGGAUGAUUGUGUAAAUCCUAUAGUAGAUUUGAUUCUAGUUAUUCUUCCCUAUUAGACUUGUAUUCCUUGGAGGAGAAUGAUUUCUUCUCUCUCUUAUUACUAUAAAUAAAGACACUGCGUAGGAGGAAUAACACAUCCUCUACACAACCCUACAAACACAUAUCUCUCUCUAUAUUCUCUCUGUGCCUUCGGUCCCCGUCCCCUGUCAGUUAAAUAUGGGCCACAACAUUAUGAGUAUUCUUUUGCCAUUCUUUCUUUCUUUUUUGGUAUGAAAACUACCUGCUGUGGCACUUUUUAUGGGAACUCGGGAUAUUUUAGUGUUUAAACCGUGUUUAAUAUUUUAACGGUUAGCCAUUUAACACUACGGUCUAGUAAUAUUUCUCUUCACUUGUAAAUAAAAAUCUUAGGUUCAACUCUCGCUAAGGGCAAAUUUGAACAACAUUUUCGUUAGCCCAUUGUGAGGCUAAGCACAACCCUUACUUGUUAGUGGUAGAUAAUAUCGUUUGUUAAAAAUAAAUAAAAAAAAUUAACGGUUAGAAUAUUCGGUCGGAGUAUUAAUUUUCAUAGAUUGGCUUGGCAAGUUAAACUGAAGCUACAAUCAAAUCAAGAUAACUCCAUAAAAGAAAUGCCUAACGACUUUGCCUUUCUUAUAAUCUUAAGAAAGCAUGAUCGUUAGAUUGAAUAAAUUAAAUAGAAUUCAGGACAAAGUUUAAAAAAAAGUGUCUAAGAUUGUCACAUCCCGAUUCCAAAGUACCACAUCAGAAUGUAUCAAACAACUUAUACAAAUAAACAUACCGGUGGCGGAUCCAGGAAAUAAUGUUUGGGGGGUCAAUAAGGAUAGUGCGCGCAGCGCGAAAUUUUUUUUUUAAUAGAAACGGCAUGCAUAUCAUCAUUUCAUCGGGUCUUGGUAGGAUAGCGUGAUCAGCCUCCCGCCGAUAGUUACCAUACUAAAAGGUGCCUUCACUUUCCCUGACAACAAAAAAUAAACAUAAAUUGGGUUGGAUGGUUCAUAAUAAACAUAAAAUUCUGAUGUCAAUAUGGUGGUUCAUAAUAAUAUUUUUUAGAGAUCAUAUUAAUUUAUGUUGAAUAUAAAGAGAAAUAAAGUUGUUAAAUAUGUGGAUGUGGAAAGGGCACACACAUCAUUACCAUUAAUUUAUGUCAAAUAUGUGGAUGUGGACGCAUGGGAACUUUGCAAUCUGCACCAAGACUUAAUGGUGACAUCUUCAACUUGACACACGAACCGAACUGACAGCCUAUGGUUUUUUACACAAAGCAAGCAAUUUGAUGCUAGCUGUACAAAUUUGAUUGGAGAGAAACUAAGAAAAAAAAUUAAAUAAGAAGAGUGUGUAGUCGAAAGGAAGAGAGAGAACGUCUUCGUCUUCGUCUUCGUCUUCCGCCAAACCGAACGAAAACCAGAAGAAACCCAGAAAAAUGUAGCAGCUCCAAGAGGUCGCACCAGCAGCUUUAAGGGGUCGCACCAGCAGCUCCAAGGGACCUCUAAAGUUAUUUCCAUGGCUUCCAAGGGGUUGUGCAACCCCAUUGACCCCACUGUGGCUCCGCCUGUGCCGGUGGGGUCUCUGCCACUUACAUAGAAUGCAAAAGAGUUUGCAAACUAUAUACAAAACCUCCUCUAGAGGCACAACGCCCGUAGCUCCCAAAAUGAAACUAUUCACAAAAUAAGACAGUAAGAUACGGACUUGGAUUCUCUCCUUGGGUGGAGAGGAUCCUCCUGACCAAACGACUUGGACCGUUGGAUUUUAUAAACAGGGGGUCCUUUUAAAGUUAUAAUAAUUAUAAUCGUUGGAUUUUCAUCCAAUAGCCCAAGUCAUUUGGUCAGGAGGAUCCUCUCCUUGGACUCAGGAGAGGAUCCAAGUCCAUAAGAUACGAGGUUGACCUAAUCACGAAGCACUCAAUUCCCCAAACUGCUACUCAAGACACCUCUUACCUAUCAACACCUAUGAACCUGAAAAAUCGCCAUCUAUACCGUGAAAAUGGUUUUCUAGGCAAAGCAAAAUCCGGAUAGUCCAUGAAGCUCGUGUGAGUGACGGUAAUACAACAUGUAUGAAUAAAAAGGUCAAUCGCUCUCGGUUAUAAAAUAUUUUAUAAAUCUUUUGCUUAUAUAAAAUAACUUCACUCACAAAACUCAUCUGAAUCCACACAUGCAUUCAAUCGUCUUUAAUCCCAGUUGAUUCCACAGACAUUCAAUCAUCUCUUCAUAUAUAAUAAAUCUUAAGGCUAGCAUAAAUUACAACGUUCUGCAUUCCAAACGGACUCGUGGAUCUUGAGACAACUCUUAUAAAAUAAAAUACUAGGGCGAAUAGGCUAUCAUUCUUUCAUAUAUGUUGAGCCAAUUCAGCUCAUGUUGGUAAGAGAAUUUACUAAAAAAUAAAGAUAAUUUAAGCCUUUGUUCUCCCAAGGCAAAGACUUAGGUUUACAAAUUAAUGAAAAGUUCCCUUAUAUAAAAUAAGCUGCAACAGAAAUGUUCAAAAUAAUGUCCUGAACUUCCCUUACCACCAUACAUAUUGAAUCUCAAACAGGGAAAUUAUCCGUGAACGUUCUCGGGUGUCAAAAUAUAAACAAUCUCCAUGCUAAGCCUCUGUCACUAAUGACUACAAAUAAUCAUACAUCAAUUUAAACGACGUUCCCUACAAAACCAAACUACUUCCUUCCCCUGCUCAGCCUCUGCAAGUGGUAAUUGAUGAUUCCCAUUGACUUUCUGUUUUUGUUGCUCUGUAGCGAAAGAGUAGGGCACGUUAGGAUAGACUUCAAGUAAUGAAAAAAAAAAAAAAACAGAUGAGAAAUUCGAAAACAAAAUUAAGAUGCAUAAUCCAAAGGAGAACAACGGAAAAUCUACCUGAGCCUCCAUACAAGUACCCAAAAGUUCCUUCUGCUUGAGACACUUAUCAUCACAGAGCUGGUUAGCAGCCAGGCAGUUGAGAAAUGCUAUCAUUUCCUUCAUGCAAUGCAAGGUUUGUGAAAAGUUCCAAAUUUCUUUCGAUUUAUAUAUACAGUACCAACUUUCCGACCCAUUCUAUGAUUAAAACAACACCUGUCCAAGCAAGAAACUGUUCUGUUCACCCAUAUCUUGAAAGAAGGAUCGGAAAAAUCCAGUAGCAAAUCAAAACCAUCAUGAGGAAAGCUGCAUCUAUAUGACCACAACCAUCACUUUUUAUUUAAGUUAACAGGAAUACUUUCAACUAGGUGGAAGAUAUGCAAAAUCUAAUCCAGUAGAAACUAGAAAACCUGGGUUCACAAACUUACAAAUUUCUUUUACAUAAAGUGGCAAAUGUUGUAUCCUUUUGCAGUUCAACUACUGACCCAAAAUUGCCCCCAUAAACCCAAAUUUGUUACUCACAUUAUAACUCCAGUCUGCAGUUCAAACAACAGUCUCAUCCAAAGACAGUCUCGUGGGGAAUAAUCCAUGACUCAAAAUCCAAAACCACGGUACAAUGGGAUAUUGGUGCCAAUCUAUCUCACCAACAAGAAGUUCAAAAAAGGGUUUUGGGAACCAAGGGAAUGAUAGUUUUUGAGCAUAUAAAGCUUAGAAACAAAUUCAUACCAGAACUCAAUGGCACACAAUAAAGUAUUCAGAUUUGUCUCAAUUUACUCAUUUUGAAUGUGCUGAAUGAAAAGAUUCUUCCUUCACUUUCCAGAUUUAUUGACCCAAUGAAACUCUCACAAUCACAAACAUUUUCACCCAUAUAAACCCAAAUAAUUAAUUAACUUACAGAAAUACAAAACAUGACAACACUGACACGUAAAAACAGUAAAAGAUUUCAUAUAGCAACCACAAAAGCAUAGUUUUACAAAUGGCGAUCAUCAGGAAGUUUGCCAUCUUGAAUGUAAUCUAUGAUCUCAUCCAUCCAGUUUUCUUGCAUAUCAAUAGAAGCAACUAACUCCUGUUCCGGUUUGUGGAUAGUUUAUUGCUUUGGUUUACUUAUGUAUUCCUAUCAUUUAUUCUAUGUUAAUUCACAACUCUACUAUUGUACUGCUAUGUUUAAUAACUGAUUGGACUCUUUGUUUUUUUUCUAUAUUUGGUUAAGACUCUUAGUUUCUUAUCUGCUAGCCAAUUCUACUCAAAAACGGGAAUUUCCAAACAUAAUAUAUUUUGGGUAAUCAAAAGCCGACCCCACUUAGUGGGAAAAGGCUUUGUUGUUGUUGUUGUAAAAGUGGAAACGGAGGGCCUAAAUUGCCCUGCAGUUGAAGCAAUUUUGUACCCAACAUAAUUUAGUUGCAGAUACUAAAACAUAUAUAAAAUAUAGUCAUUAAGAGUGAAACAAUAGAGAGUCAGAAACCUACACAAAUUUAAUGUGUUUAAUCAAUGAAAAAGCAAGAAAAAGGUCGACAAAACCAACUUUAGGUUCCAAAGUCAAAAUCCUUAAAUCCCUACAACAACAACAACAACAACAAAGCCUUUUCUCACUAAGUGGGGUCGGCUAUAUGAAUCCUAGAACGCCAUUGCGCUCGGUUUUGUGUCAUGUCCUCUGUUAGAUCCAAGUACUCUAAGUCUUUUCUUAGAGUCUCUUCCAAAGUUGUCCUAGGUCUUCCUCUACCCCUUC